rnacentral:rRNA from 1 species
GACGAACGCUGGCGGCGUGCCUAAUACAUGCAAGUAGAACGCUGAAGCGAGGAGCUUGCUCUUCUUGGAUGAGUUGCGAACGGGUGAGUAACGCGUAGGUAACCUGCCUUGUAGCGGGGGAUAACUAUUGGAAACGAUAGCUAAUACCGCCUAACAAUGGAUGACCCAUGUCAUUUAUUUGAAAGGGGCAACUGCUCCACUACAAGAUGGACCUGCGUUGUAUUAGCUAGUAGGUGAGGUAACGGCUCACCUAGGCGACGAUACAUAGCCGACCUGAGAGGGUGAUCGGCGACACUGGGAAUAAGACAAGGCCCAGACUCCUACGGGAGGCAGAAGAAGGGAAUAUUCGGAAAAGGGGGCAAAACUGACCGAGCAACGCCGCGAGAGUGAAGAAGGUUUUCGGAUCGUAAAGCUCUGUUGUAAGUAAAGAACGAGUGUGAGAGUGGAAAGUUCACACUGUGACGGUAGCUUACCAGAAAGGGACGGCUAACUACGUG